rnacentral:rRNA from 1 species
GAUGAACGCUGGCGGCGUGCCUAAUACAUGCAAGUAGAACGCUGAAGGAGGAGCUUGCUCUUCUGGAUGAGUUGCGAAUGGGUGAGUAACGCGUAGGUAACCUGCCUGGUAGCGGGGGAUAACUAUUGGAAACGAUAGCUAAUACCGCAUGACAACAGUUAUUGCAUGAUAACUGUUUAAAAGUGGCAACUGCUCCACUACCAGAUGGACCUGCGUUGUAUUAGCUAGUUGGUGAGGGAACGGCUCACCAAGGCGACGAUACAUAGCCGACCUGAGAGGGUGAGCGGCCCACAUGGGAACGAGACAAGGCCCAGACGCCUUAGGGAGGCAGCAGGAGGGGAACAUCGGAAAAGGAGGGAAGGCUGAACGAGCAACGCCGGGUGAGUGAAGGAAGUUGUCGGGUCGGAAAACUCGGUUGUAAGAGAAGAAAGAGUGUGAGAGUAGAAAGUUCACAUUGUGACGGUACCUAAACAGAAAGCGACGGCUAACUACGUG